AAAACCUCUAGGCGAAAAAUUAUAAAUUGACUAGUUUCAUGUAAAACAAAAAGAAAACAAUUUGUAACUCUCGAUCGGGUUAUCAGAAAAUUCUGAAAAUUUACGUGGAGCCUUCUAAUAUGAUUCCUUAGCUUGGGUUAAAAUUUCAGAAGUUUUAGAGAAAUUCAGAAAUUUGACGAAAAAUCACAAUUUGACUAGUUUUACGUUAUUGGACGUAAUUUUAAAUCCGACCAUCAAAUUGAGCUGAAAUUUUAUGAGGAACCUUAAAAUAAAUAAAAUCUAUUUAAAAUUUUAGGAUGAAUGGAGCUCGGCAGUGCUAUCAAAGAAUAAGGACCGUCAAAUGGAAGCAAAAAGACUCAUAAGGGUAAAAUGGUAAUUUGCCAUUAAAAAUAAAACAAGGCAGCCCCUUUUCUGUUAUGAACUGCUGACUGGGCAGUAACAAAUGUGAAAAGAAAAAAAAAUAAGAAAAGAACGUGAGAAGUUAAGAGAAAAACAAGAAAAAGCGAGAGAGAGCUUUGAAACUUGUAAGAUUGAAAGACUUGGAACAUUAAAUUAAGGAAGAAUCAAGUGAAGGAAGAUAUAAGAAAGGUGAGGAGGGCUGGCCACACUAGGAGGAGAAGAAAAGUUGGGAGAACUUAGAUUGGAGUUGUACCGGGAGCAGGGCAUCAGGCAGGAGGAGCUGGGCUAUCACGAGCAGACGGUUUUUCACGAGGUGAUGCGGAGCGUUAAAUAUGGGCUUUUUGUUUUAAUCUGUUUAUUUUGUGGGAUGUAAUAUAUUUGCU